rnacentral:rRNA from 1 species
UACGUAGGGUGCAAGCGUUAAUCGGAAUUACUGGGCGUAAAGCGUACGCAGGCGGCUUUGCAAGACAGGUGUGAAAUCCCCCGGGCCUAACCUGGGAACUGCAUUUGUGACUGCAUGGCUAGAGUUUGUCAGAGGGGGGGUGGAAUUCCACGUGUAGCAGUGAAAUGCGUAGAUAUGUGGAGGAACACCGAUGGCGAAGGCAGCCCCCUGGGCCUGCACUGACGCUCAUGCACGAAAGCGUGGGGAGCAAACAGG